rnacentral:lncRNA from 1 species
UUUCAUUCGACCGCCGCGCCGCCGAACGGGCACGACGUGUUCCUAAAGUAAAGCGAAAUUAUAUAUUUGUAAUAGAAUUGCGUAUAUUAAUUAAAAAGAAAAAAUAAAGUGAAUCAAAUAAAGCAAAUAUUAUACAUUAACCAAAUUAGAAACAAUAAAUUACGUCCAAUACACUCAACAACAUCCAUAGUAAAUAAUAGAAACGUGCAGUCGUUUGAAAACCCCAAUAAACAAUCCAUGAGACCAUGCAAACAUUACCCGAAGGAAAAUAAUAAUAAUCAUGACAAAGGUUGUGUCGCCGCAUCCAGCCCGCUAGGAGGACUCCGCCACGUUGACGUGUCGAAACCAAUUAGACUACGAAACGGCGGCGGCAAAUCGUUCCAGCACUUGGAUGCGGCGAACCUGAAACUGCCACGGAAAGCGGUGGUGCGGUGACGAGGCACCGCGAGUGAGUAGUACGACGCACGGGUCCUGGCAGCAGUCACGUCGCGGGACCAAACCAGUUUGUCCGCAAGAUAUGGCGGUAAUUUAAAAUUAACUAUUCCGAACAUCAGCGUUGCAAAAUGAAACUGUCUGCGAUAUUUCAUUUUUAGGAUUCUAGCCUUGUUUAUGUAAGGUGUUACGUGUGUGCGGGGAGGAAUUUUGAAGCAGAAUCUAGCGCAAGCAUUCUGUACUCUCUGAACCAGUUUUUGUGAGCGCGCCAGAAGCCGAGGCCCAUACACAGCGUCCAUAUAAUUAAACUUAGAGAGAAUUAAAGA